GCUAAGUUCGUGCCAGCAGCCGCGGUAAGACGAACCGUGCAAACGUUAUUCGGAAUCACUGGGCUUAAAGGGCGCGUAGGCGGGUAAUCAAGUCAAUGGUGAAAUCCUCCAGCUUAACUGGAGAAGUGCCUUUGAUACUGGUUGUCUAGAGGGAGGUAGGGGCAUGUGGAACUUCAGGUGGAGCGGUGAAAUGCGUAGAUAUCUGAAGGAACGCCAGUGGCGAAAGCGAUGUGCUGGACCUCUUCUGACGCUUAGGCGCGAAAGCUAGGGGAUCAAACGGGAUUAGAUACCCCGGUAGUCCUAGCCCUAAACUAUGGGUACUAGAUUGUGGACUUUCAUGGGUUCACAGUCGAAGCAAAAGUGUUAAGUACCCCGCCUGGGGAGUAUGGUCGCAAGGCUGAAACUCAAAGGAAUUGACGGGGGCUCACACAAGCGGUGGAGCAUGUGGCUUAAUUCGAGGCUACGCGAAGAACCUUAUCCUGGAAUUGACAUAUGUGAAAACGGUAGGAAGUAAUUGCCGGAAACGGCCAAUGAACGGUAUCCAAUCCGGAACUUACCACAGGUGCUGCAUGGCUUGUCGUCAGCUCCGUGUCGUGAGA
rnacentral:rRNA from 1 species